rnacentral:rRNA from 1 species
UGAGGAAUAUUGCACAAUGGACGCAAGUCUGAUGCAGCAACGCCGCGUGGAGGAUGAAGGUCUUUGGAUCGUAAACUCCUUUUCUCAGGGAAGAGAAUGGACGGUACCUGAGGAAUAAGUCACGGCUAACUACGUGCCAGCAGCCGCGGUAAUACGUAGGUGGCAAGCGUUAUCCGGAAUUACUGGGCGUAAAGCGCACGCAGGCGGUCUUUUAAGUUUGACGUGAAAGCUCCCGGCUUAACUGGGAGAGGUCGUUGAAGACUGGAAGACUUGAGGCAAUGAGAGGGGUGUAGAAUUCCCGGUGUAGUGGUGGAAUGCGUAGAUAUCGGGGGGAAUACCAGUGGCGAAAGCGGCACCCUAGCGUUAGCCUGACGCUCAUGUGCGAAAGCGUGGGGAGCGAACGG